UCUACAGGUCGAGCAAGUCUCGUAAAUUUCACGAUUGCGAGCCACGCUUCACGCAACCGUGUUUGCGUACUUGUGUUUCGAGUUGCGUGGUCGUGCGGAGUUAUAUUUACCAAAUUUAAAUCCGUUCCAACAUGCUGUCAAAAUUAAAUCAAUAUGUCAAUAUGGCUACUGGGUGUAAAAGAUAAAUCUUAUUAUAUCUGUUCUUAAUGAGUUUUAGAUAAUUUUAGUUGUAUUUCUUUGUAAUUUUGUGUUGUACAAAGAUUAAUUUAACAUUUUCUCUGGAAGUAUUAAUUUAGAAAGAUAAUAUGCUUCAUUGGUGUUGUGUUUUGAAGUGUGAAAUGCAAAGUAAUUGUGAUAGAAGUCAAGAUAAAGUUCACUUUUAAACUGAACUAAAUAAGGUAUCUGAGAGACAACAAUGGUUAAAUGCAAUACAAUGUACAGGUUUUACUAGCGAAAUGAAAAUUUUCCUGUCCUGUCUGCUGUAAUCAUUUUAUAUCUGGAAAACCAGCCGACUUAAUCGAUAAUAACAAUCUCCAGAUUGGGUUCCUUCAAUAAAUAUGGGCUAUAAACACAAUGAAAUAAGUUCCCCAAAAUCUAAAAUGGAGUGGUAUCAAAGGAGAAUUAAAGGAAAAAAUAUUCAUUUUUAAAUUAUUUAUAAGGCACUGGACUGUCUUAAAUUCUACAAUAAUACUAGAAUCAGCUGAGAGAAGUGGUCUACAAAAAACCAGGAAGGAAACGGAAUAUGUGGCUACGAAAGGCAAAAGAAAGGUUUACAAAGCAAAUGUGACACAUUUUUUUGAAAUAUUUAGGAAUAUCAGUAAAUUGCAUUAAAAAAAUGUAUGAAAAGAUUUUGUUCAAUAAAAAUGUUUAUAUUUAUCACGGAUGUAUUAUUUGGUAUGGCCACAUAUCGUCAGUGAUGUAAUAAUACAUCCUAUCUGUUUUUUCAUGAGUUUUGUAAGAGAGACUAAAAACUUGUCUUAGGGUCACCUCCUGUUUUCAUAUGAUAUUUUUUGACUUGUUUUGUAGUAAAUUAAACUAUCUAUGAACUACAA